ACUCCUACGGGAGGCAGCAGUGGGGAAUAUUGCACAAUGGGGGAAACCCUGAUGCAGCCAUGCCGCGUGUGUGAAGAAGGCCUUCGGGGUUGUAAAGCACUUUCAGAGGGAGGAAGGUAGUGGUAGUUAACACCUGCAUUAUUUUGACGGUAUCCUACAGAAGAAGCACCGGCUAACUCCGUGCCAGCAGCCGCGGUAAUACGGAGGGUGCGAGCGUUAAUCGGAAUUACUGGGCGUAAAGCGCAUGCAGGCGGCCUGUUAAGUCAGAUGUGAAAGCCCGGGGCUUAACCUCGGAAUUGCAUUUGAAACUGGCAGGCUAGAGUCUUGUAGAGGGGGGGUAGAA
rnacentral:rRNA from 1 species